GAGUUUGAUCAUGGCUCAGAUUGAACGCUAGCGGCAUGCUUAACACAUGCAAGUCGAACGGCAGAGCAGGAGUUUAUGCUCCCUGGCGGCGAGUGGCGGACAGGUGAGUAAUACACGUAAGGAAUCUACCUUAUAGAGGGGACAACCCGGGAAACUCAGGCUAAUACCGCAUGAUCUCUAUGGAGUAAAGCGGGGAUCUUCCUGACCUCCUUGCUAUAAGAUGAGCCUAUGUCGGAUUAGCUUGUUGGUGGGGUAAUUGCCUACCAAGGCGACGAUCCGUAAGCUGGUCUGAGAGGAUGAUCAGCCACACUGGGACUGAGACACGGCCCAGACUCCUACGGGAGGCAGCAGUGGGGAAUCUUGGACAAUGGAAACCCUGAUCCAGCAAUGCCGCGUGUGUGAAGAAGGCCCUCCAGGUUGUAAAGCACUUUCAGUAGGGGAAGAAAUUCUCAAGAGUAAUAUACUUGAGCGUUGACGUUACCUAUGGAAAACACCUGGCUAACUCUGUGCCAGCAGCCGCGUGUACAGAGGUGCGACGUUAAUCGGAAUCACUGGGCGUAAGAGCGCGUGGUGGAUAUUUAAGUCGGAUGUGAAAGCCUAGGCUUAACCCUAGGGACUGCACUCGAUACUGGAUAUCUCGAGUAUGGUAGAGGAAGUGGAAUUUUCGGUGUGGUGAAAUGCGUAGAUAUCGGAAAGAACACCAGUGGCACAGGCGGCACCUGGACCAAAAUGCCGGCGCUGGGUGCCGAAAGCGUGGGAGCAAACAGGAUUAGAGACCCUGGUAGUCCAUAAAUCAACGAUGAGAACUAGCUGUUGGAGAGUUUACUUUCUAGUGGCGAAGCUAACGCGUUAAGUUCUCCGCCUGGGGAGUACGGCCUGGGGGUUAAAACUCAAAGAAAUUGACGAGGAGCCCCGCACAAGCGGUGGAGCAUGGUUUAGUUCGAUGCAACGCGAAGAAAACCUUACCUACCCUUGACAUCCUCAGAACUUGUCAGAAAUGACUUGGUGCCUUCGGAACUGAGUGACAGGUGCUGCAUGGCUGUCGUCAGCUUGUGUCGUGAGAUGUUGGGUUAAGUCCCGUAACGAGCGCAACCCUCGUCCUUAGUUGCCAGCGGUUCAGUCAGAGACUCUAAGGAGAUGCCGGUGAUAAACCGGAGGAAGGUGGGGAUGAUGUCAAGUCAUCAUGGCCCUUACGGAGUAGGGCCACAUUCUUCCAAUGGGCAGUACAAGGGUUGCCAAACCUACAUAAGGUGGAGCCAAUCCCAAAAAUAGCUCUUAGUCGGAUUGAAGUCUACGCUCGACUUCAUGAAGCUGGAAUCGCUAGUAAUCGCGAAUCAGAAUGUCGCGGUGAAUACGUUCUCAGGCCUUACACCCCGCCCGUCACACCAUGGGAGUGGUGUACCAGAAGCGGGUAGGCUAACCUUCAGUGGGGCGCUCUACGGUGUGGUUCAUGACU
rnacentral:rRNA from 1 species